AGUGUUUGAUAAAGAAUAUUGCUUCCUGCGUGAGUUAUUAAUUUUCUCCCAGAGUUUCUCCAAUUCCUUCAAAAAGAUUGGCUUGUUACUGUUCUCCAAGGACUUAAAUCCUGUAUCAGUACAAUGUUCUUGGCCCAAAACAAACAAAAGCUUGCUUUUCAAUCUUCCCAUCACACAUUCCAGGGUAUUAUUCAAGUUCUUCUCAAUCGUAGUAGACCAGAUUCCCACUUCAAAUCUUUCAAAACAAAAUUUCAAGAAGUCUUCACAGUGGGGUCUCUUGUAAACUUGAAUGGUUUCAUAGGUUGCAUCCGGAGUGCAAUUUUUAGGCUUUUCUUUACUGAAUACCCUGACCCUAUGACAUAGAACUCCUGGGGCAAUCACAAGAAGUUUCUUCUUGGGCCAAGACUCAACUUCUCUAGUGAAAUUCCACCCAAUCCUCCUCUAUCUUCUUCACUAUCGCUUUCAUCAUAGCAACA
rnacentral:misc_RNA from 1 species